CUAAUAUAUAGCUAGCUCUCAGCUAAUCACAAAGGUCUUUGGAAAGUGUGCUUUAUAUAUCUUCUAAAGACCACCACAAGUAAAAGACUUUAGACUGAGAACAUAGGUGCUGACAAGACUCUGCAGCAGGAUAGAGGAUGGAGGAAAUCCAGCUGCAUCACCUUGGCAUUGCCUGUGCUACACAGGAACCUGGCAGCCCUGGCAGGAUGCAUAGGGAGCUCCAACCUUCACCACAAAGGAGGAGGCCUGUGUGAUGAAUAUCUUAUUUUCUUCCCAUUUCUAAGGUUUUUUUGACUGAGAAGACCUGCAGCCCUUUUUUAUAUAUCACCCAGAAAACUGCAAGCACAGCUUAUCCACCACAACACGAAGAUCUGGAGAUGUUUUUUCCUCAUCCAUUCAAGCACAUUUUCUUCAAAGAAAACAAUGAUAUUUCCUUUUCCACCA